UACGUAGGGUGCGAGCGUUAAUCGGAAUUACUGGGCGUAAAGCGUGCGCAGGCGGUUGUGCAAGACAGAUGUGAAAUCCCCGGGCUCAACCUGGGAACCGCAUUUGUGACUGCACGGCUAGAGUGCGGCAGAGGGGGAUGGAAUUCCGCGUGUAGCAGUGAAAUGCGUAGAUAUGCGGAGGAACACCGAUGGCGAAGGCAAUCCCCUGGGCCUGCACUGACGCUCAUGCACGAAAGCGUGGGGAGCAAACAGG
rnacentral:rRNA from 1 species